GCCCAACCGUAAACUUUUAUUUACAACCCCAACCGCCAGAAGACUACGAGCCCUGCUUAAAACUCAAAGGACUUGACGGUAUUCCAUAUCCGACUAGAGGAGCCUGUCCUGUCAUCGAUAACCCCCGCUAAACCUCACCCCUUUUAGCCUCUCAGCCUGUAUACUUCCGUCACCAAUUCACCACAUGAGCGCAACUCAGUGAUUGACCCCGCCUAACCCGCAUAAACGUCAGGUCAAAGUGCAGCAAAUAAAGCGGGAAGAGAUGGGCUACAUUCUCUAACAUAGAACAUACGAAAGACUAAUAUGAAAUCUAGUCAAGAAGGCGGAUUUAGAAGUAAGGGGGGAAUAGAGAGCCCCCCUUAACCAGGCACUGGAAUGUGUA
rnacentral:rRNA from 1 species